AAUCUUGUGGAAACAUUUCUGCACAAACUGGAUUAUGGAUACCAGUGUGCCAAAAACGUUUCUGCUACAUC
rnacentral:pre_miRNA from 1 species